AUACGGAAGGUGCGAGCGUUAUCCGGAUUCAUUGGGUUUAAAGGGAGCGUAGGCGGAGCGCCAAGUCAGCUGUGAAAUCCCGCGGCUCAACCGUGGAACUGCAGUUGAAACUGGCGCCCUUGAGUGCACAUGAGGAUGGCGGAAUUCGUGGUGUAGCGGUGAAAUGCUUAGAUAUCAUGAAGAACUCCGAUUGCGAAGGCAGUCCGCUGGGGCACGUCUGACGCUGAUGCUCGAAGGUGCGGGAAUCAAACAGGAUUAGAUACCCUGGUAGUCCGCACGGUAAACGAUGAUUACCCGCUGUCGGCGGUAGACAGUCGGCGGCCAAGCGAAAGCGAUAAGUAAUCCACCUGGGGAGUACGCCGGCAACGGUGAAACUCAAAGGAAUUGACGGGG
rnacentral:rRNA from 1 species